CAUUGUCUAUUGAUGAUGUUACUGAUUUUUCCUACAAGUUAUAGGUGUUUAGGAUAAUUAAUUAAAAUUGUUACUUCAAUGCUGCAGUUUUGCGAUCUUAACAAAUCUUCAGAAGGAUCAGAGAUUAUUCUGAAUUGAUAAUAUGCCUCAGCUGAGGCUUGCGCCUCCAGCUGUAGACCAGGAAAAGCUAAAGACAAGCAGACCACGGUAGAGCAGAAACUAGCAGGGGGGUCUUGGAAAAAUUGAAAAACCAAACAGAAAUGGGCAACUCAAGGAGUUGAAAGUUCAAGGAUCAUUUCUUUGGUUCCCAUCAAAGUCGAAUAUAUUCAACAAGGAGAAGGCAAGCAAGCAUUGACGAUUUGACAGUGGUCACCUUCUCACGUGAUGAGCCCAACUCUGGUUUGAAAGAACAUUUUCCAAAGAAUAAUGGAUGCAAUUAGGAUGAGGUACAGAUGGGUUAUUGAACUAACCGACUGGUGAUUGGGUAUUGUAAGAAAAAGUAACAGUUCCUCCAAUUCCUAAUUUUUGAGGUUAAAUAUUUUUUCAAAAUAAAAAAUAUGUGAGAUUUUGACUUAUUGGAUUAUAUGUAUUCAAUUA